GCCUGGGUGGCUCAGUCGGUUGAGUGUCCGACUUUGGCUCAGGUCAUGUUCUCAUGGUUCGUGGGUUCGAGCCCCGCCUCGGGCU